rnacentral:rRNA from 1 species
GUAGGUGCAAGCGUUGUCCGGAAUUAUUGGGCGUAAAGCGCGCGCAGGCGGUUCUUUAAGUCUGAUGUGAAAGCCCACGGCUCAACCGUGGAGGGUCAUUGGAAACUGGAGAACUUGAGUACAGAAGAGGAAAGCGGAAUUCCACGUGUAGCGGUGAAAUGCGUAGAGAUGUGGAGGAACACCAGUGGCGGAGGCGGCUUUCUGGUCUGUAACUGACGCUGAGGCGCGAAAGCGUGGGGAGCAAACAGGGAUUAGAUACCCUGGUAGUCCACGCCGUAAACGAUGAGUGCUAAGUGUUAGGGGGGUUUCCGCCCCCUUAGUGCUGCAGCUAACGCAUUAAGCACUCCGCCUGGGGAGUACGGCCGCAAGGCUG